AACUUAUCCCUAGUUUACACUACAAUGCGUUGGGGGCUUGUAACUGGGCCUAGCCCAUUAAAGUUAGAGGUGACUCAUGUCCCCUGUAUAAGGAGGUCUUCACCUCAUUUUUAUGGCUCAAGACAUGGAGCCAACCACAUUUUUGUAGUUGUGAAAGGAGAUUCUUCUCCUAGCAGCCAUCUCUACUCCCCACAUUUCUUUCCUUUUCCCUAAUUGCACUGCAGAUCUAGAUUCAUGAGAAAGAACAAUGUGUGAUUCUUGGUAUCUUGUAGAAUACGGUAAGAAUGUGAUUUCGUGUUUCUUCAUUGGCGCCAUCUGUGGGACUGACAACGAUCACAUCUCGUUUUCUCCAUGUCAAUCUUCAGGUCUGUGUUCUUGGAGCUCCACUUUCGAUUUUUGAAUCAAGAAACUCCAUAACUAUGUUCAUCCAAGCUCUAUAGGAUUUACAACUUUCAGAUCUGUGGUCAUAGAACUUUUCAAUUGUUUUUUUGGAGAACUUCCACCGCCAGAUCUGUUGAAUGAGGGGAAUAGUCUGAAAAGGUAACCCUAUACGAUGCGUAUAGAGCUCUAUACGCGUCGUAUAGGUCCAGAAAUUUGUUAUAAAGCCAAGAAUACGGGGACCAUUUGACUUAAAUGAAAAUUCACAAACGAAACAAUCCGAUAAAAGCGUUCGUAUCAUGAUGUCAUUUUAGGACAUUAGUUACGUUUUUGGCAAAUAUUUGAACCAGUCAUUUGCUGCCAGCCAAUGAUUGGCUAGUAAUUAAUGAAUCCUAUACGCGUCGUAUAAGGUAACCAGGAUGUCCAAAUAAAUCAGGGGUGCCAGACCCUUAUUGAAGUGUUGAUUUUAGACUUGGACUUUAAUUCCUUUAUUAAAGACAUA